rnacentral:rRNA from 1 species
GACGAACGCUGGCGGCGUGCCUAAUACAUGCAAGUCGAACGCAGUGGGGACGGGUGAGUGACACGUGGGUAACCUCCCAUCAGAGGGGAUAACACUUGGAAACAGGUGCUAAACCGAUACUGAUGGAUGAACCCGCGGUGCAUUAGCUAGUUGGUGAGGUCUCGGCUCACCAAGGCCACGAUGCAUAGCCGACCUGCAGGGGUGCGUGGCCACCCUGCGACUGAGGCCCAGCCCAGACACCUACGGCGUGCAGCAGUAGGAAAUCUUAGGCAAUGGACGAAAGUCUGACCGUGCAACGCCGCGUGAGUGAAGAGGGUUUUCGGAUCGUAAAACUCUGUUGUUAGAGAAGCGGUAUCUAACCAGAAAGCCACGGCUAACUACGUGCCAGCAGCCGCGGUAAUUC